GAUGAACGCUAGAUACAGCCUUAACCCAUGUAAGUCGAAGUGUAACGAGAGGAAAGCUUGCUUUCCUUGUUGAGGACCGGCGCACGGGUGAGUAACGCGUAUCCAACCUGCCCCCAACUAGGGCAUAACCUUGCGAACGUAAGCCUAAUACUCUAAAAUUCCAUCCGGUGUAACCUUCGGAGGAAUAAAGAUUUAUGGGUUGUGUACGGGGAUGCGUCUGAUUAGCCUGUUGGCGGGGUAACGGCCCACCAAGGCAACGAUCAGUAGGGGUCCGGAGAGGUAGGUCCCCCACAUUGGAACUGAGACACGGUCCAAACUCCUACGGGAGGCAGCAGUGAGGAAUAUUGGUCAAUGGGCGGAAGCCUGAACCAGCCAAGUAGCGUGCAGGAUGACGGCCCUAUGGGUUGUAAACCGCUUUUAUACAGGCAUAAAGUUAGCCACGUGUGGUUAUUUGUAGGUACUGUAUGAAUAAGGACCGGCUAAUUCCGUGCCAGCCGCCGCCGUAA
rnacentral:rRNA from 1 species